CUCCUACGGGAGGCAGCAGUCGGGAAUAUUGCGCAAUGGAGGAAACUCUGACGCAUGACGCCGCGUGCAGGAAGAAGGUUUUCGGAUUGUAAACUGCUUUAGACAGGGAAGAACAAAGACAGUACCUGUAGAAUAAGCUCCGGCUAACUACGUGCCAGCAGCCGCGGUAAUACGUAGGGAGCGAGCGUUAUCCGGAUUUAUUGGGUGUAAAGGGUGCGUAGACGGGAAGUCAAGUUAGUUGUGAAAUCCCUCGGCUUAACUGAGGAACUGCAACUAAAACUGAUUUUCUUGAGUACUGGAGAGGAAAGUGGAAUUCCUGGUGUAGCGGUGAAAUGCGUAGAUAUUAGGAGGAACACCGGUGGCGAAGGCGACUUUCUGGACAGAAACUGACGUUGAGGCACGAAAGUGUGGGGAGUAAACAGGAUUAGAUACCCUGGUUAGUCCACACCGUAAACGAUGGAUACUAGGUGUAGGGGAUAUUAAAAUUCUCUGUGCCGCCGCUAACGCAAUAAGUAUCCCACCUGGGGAGUACGGCCGCAAGGUUGAAACUCAAAGGAAUUGACGGGGGCCCGCACAAGCAGUGGAGUAUGUGGUUUAAUUCGACGCAACGCGAAGAACCUUACCAGGGCUUGACAUAUAAGUGAAUAAUUAAGAGAUUAGUUAGCUCUUCGGAGCACUUAUACAGGUGGUGCAUGGUUGUCGUCAGCUCGUGUCGUGAGAUGUUGGGGUUAAGUCCCGCAACGAGCGCAACCCCUGUUUCCAGUUGCCAGCACAUAAAGGUGGGGACUCUGGAGAGACUGCCGGUGAUAAAUCGGAGGAAGGUGGGGACGACGUCAAAUCAUCAUGCCCUUUAUGUCCUGGGCUACACACGUACUACAAUGGCUAUAACAAAGAGAAGCGAGACCGCGAGGUGGAGCAAAACUCAAAAAAGUAGUCUCAGUUCGGAUUGUAGACUGAAAUUCGUCUACAUGAAGCUGGAAUUGCUAGUAAUGGCAGGUCAGCAUACUGCCGUGAAUACGUUCCCGGGCCUUGUACACACGGC
rnacentral:rRNA from 1 species